rnacentral:rRNA from 1 species
AGCGAACGUUAGCGGCGCGCCUAACACAUGCAAGUCGCACGAGAAAGGGCUUCGGCCCCAGUAAAGUGGCGCACGGGUGCGUAACACGUAGGCAAUCUUCCCUUGAGCGGGGGAUAACGUUUCGAAAGAGACGCUAAUACCGCAUAAGACCACGGACUCUUCGGAGACUGCGGUCAAAGCUGGCCUCUUCAUGAAAGCUAGCACUCAAGGACGAGCCUGCGGCCCAUCAGCUAGUUGGUAGGGUUACGGCCUACCAAGGCGAAGACGGGUAGCUGGUCUGAGAGGAUGAUCAGCCACACUGGAACUGAAACACGGUCCAGACUCCUACGGGAGGCAGCAGUGGGGAAUAUUGGACAAUGGGCGAAAGCCUGAUCCAGCGACGCCGCGUGAGUGAUGAAGGCCUUCGGGUUGUAAAGCUCUGUUGAGGGAGAAGAAAACGUUUGGCGCGAAUAGCUCCAGACCUUGACGGUAUCCCUUUAGAAAGCACCGGCUAACUCUGUGCCAGCAGCCGCAGUAAUAC